ACGCGAAGAACCUUACCUGGGUUUGACAUGCUUGGGACCGCCGGUGAGAGCCGGUCUUCCCUUCGGGGACCCUUGCACAGGUGCUGCAUGGCUGUCGUCAGCUCGUGCCGUGAGGUGUUGGUAAGUCCCGCAACGAGCGCAACCCCUGUUUUAGUGCCAUCAGUAACGCUGGGAACUCUAGAAAGACUGCCAGUGACAAACUGGAGGAAGGUGGGGAUGAUGUCAAGUCCUCAUGGCCCUUACACCCAGGGCUACACACGUACUACAAUGGCCGGUACAGAAGGCAGCAAUACCGCGAGGUGGAGCUAAUCCCCAAAGCCGGCCUCAGUUUGGAGUCUGCAACCCGANCUCCAUGAAGGAGGAUUCGCUAGAAAUCUUAAAUCAGGGGCAG
rnacentral:rRNA from 1 species